GACGAACGCUGGCGGCGUGCUUAACACAUGCAAGUCGAACGAAGCUUGAUUACGGAUUCUUCGGAUGAAGUAUGAUAUGACUGAGUGGCGGUCGGGUGAGUAACGCGUGAGUAACCUGCCCUUCAGAGGGGGAUAGCGUUUGGACACGAACGGUAAUACCGCAUAAUGUAUUUUGACCGCAUGAUCGAAAUACCAAAGAUUUAUCGCUGAAGGAUGGACUCGCGUGUGAUUAGGUAGUUGGUGGGGUGACGGCCUACCAAGCCGACGAUCAGUAGCAGGACAGCUGGGACGAGCGGCAGACUCGGGAGGGAGGCACCGGUCGGAAACAUUCGGGAGGGGGCAGUGGGGUAUAUCGCACAAUGGGCGCAAGUGUGAUGCAGCAACGGAGUGUGAAGGAAGACGGUUUGCGGAGUGUAAAAUUCUGUUAUUAGCGAAGAAUAAUGACGGUAGCUAAGGAGCAAGCCACGGCUAACUACGUG
rnacentral:rRNA from 1 species